CUGAAAGAUAAGAAAAAUAAAAAGAGAAGAAAACUGAACCAGAGAACGAUAGACGUAAACUUACUCAUAAACAAAAACAAAAUAAAUAAAUUACAGCAAUGAUCAUAAAUUAGUCCAAACUCUGUUACAUACAUAACAACUAAAACUGAACCAGAGAACAAUAGAUGUAAACUUACUCAUAAACAAAACACAAUAAAUAAAUCAUAGCAAUGACUACAAAUUAACUCAAACUCUGUUACAUACAUAACAACUAAAACUGAGCCAGAGGACAAUAGAUGUAAACUUACUCAUAAACAAAACCACAUACACAAUAAACAAAUCAUAGCAAUGAUCAUAAAUUAGCCCAAACUCUGUUAUAUACAUAUACAACUAAAAUUGAACCAGAGAACAAUAGAUGUAAACUUACAAUAAAUAAAUUACAGCAAUGAUCAUAAAUUAGCCCAAACUCUGUUAGAUAAACAUACAACUAAAAUUGAACCAGAGAACAAUAGAUGUAAACUUACAAUAAAUAAAUUACAGCAAUGAUCAUAAAUUAGCCCAAACUCUGUUACAUGAACAUACAACUACCUAUAACAAAAAUUGAACCAGAGAACAAUAGAUGUAAACUUACUCAUAAACAAAAACAAAAUAAAUAAAUUACAGCAAUGAUCAUAAAUUAGUCCAAACUCUGUUACAUAAACAUACAACUAAAACUGAACCAGAGGACAAUAGAUGUAAACUUACUCAUAAACAAAACCACAUACACAAUAAACAAAUCAUAGCAAUGAUCAUAAAUUAGCCCAAACUCUGUUAUAUACAUAUACAACUAAAAUUGAACCAGAGAACAAUAGAUGUAAACUUACAAUAAAUAAAUUACAGCAAUGAUCAUAAAUUAGCCCAAACUCUGUUAGAUAAACAUACAACUAAAAUUGAACCAGAGAACAAUAGAUGUAAACUUACAAUAAAUAAAUUACAGCAAUGAUCAUAAAUUAGCCCAAACUCUGUUACAUGAACAUACAACUACCUAUAACAAAAAUUGAACCAGAGAACAAUAGAUGUAAACUUACUCAUAAACAAAAACAAAAUAAAUAAAUUACAGCAAUGAUCAUAAAUUAGUCCAAACUCUGUUACAUAAACAUACAACUAAAACUGAACCAGAGGACAAUAGAUGUAAACUUACUCAUAAACAAAACCACAUACACAAUAAACAAAUCAUAGCAAUGAUCAUAAAUUAGCCCAAACUCUGUUAUAUACAUAUACAACUAAAAUUGAACCAGAGAACAAUAGAUGUAAACUUACAAUAAAUAAAUUACAGCAAUGAUCAGAAAUUAGCCCAAACUCUGUUACAUAAACAUACAACUACCUAUAACAAAAACUGAACCAGAGAACAAUAGAUGUAAACUUACUCAUAAACAAAACACAAUAAAUAAAUUACAGCAAUGAUCAUAAAUUAGCCCAAACUCUGUUACAUACAUAUACAACUACCUAUAACAAAAAUUGAACCAGAGAACAAUAGACAUAAACUUACUCACAAACAAAAACACAUACACAAUAAACAAAUCAUAGCAAUGAUCAUAAAUUAGCUCAAACUCUGUUACAUACACAAACAACUACCUACAUCUGUCCUUAUAAUACAAGUUAGUAUUUACCUAUGUUUACCUAAUAUUGUACAUGUUAUUCGACCGCAUCCGGUACCAUAUAUACACAUGAUAUAGCAAUUUUAUAAAAUAUAUAAUUUUGCAGUAGUACAAGAUGUCCCUUAACUAGCAGCUGCUCUCAAAGAUUCUGCACAUGAAAACAACAAAAACAAUUCAUAUGAACGUAUUCGGCCUUGUUUACGUGUUACAUUGAGCUUUACGUUCGUAUAAGUCUACCGAACAAUAGAAACAAUAUAAAAAUCAACUCAAAAUUCACCGAAUGUCCAGCUGGACAAAUUGUAAAGUACAAAUUAAAUAAAAAAAAAAAAAAGAACUCGGUCUAUCCAUUUACUCUAAAAGAGGUCGCAACAGCUAACUGUAACUUAAAAGCCACUGUCUACCGGCUAUUGAUAAUUCUCAAAUCUCCCACCUUUGCAAACUAUUUUCAACCUCGCCAAAGUUAGUAUCCGCUUCUCGCAAGGAGCAGCGUCGAUUUAUAUAAGAGUACACCGUGUAUAUGAACGGCGACAGGCUAGCGAGUUCCGCGGCUACGUGUGCGUGUGCAAAUCGUGCGUGCCAACUUCCGCGGUGUACCACCUGGGUGGUCCACGAUCGAGGAAUACGAGAAUUAGAUAGCUCGAUAAGACGUACACGCAUUUGUACGCACACCCCGUCGCUGUUACGUAGCUCGGCGACGUAUCCGCUUGAAAUCGUUAGCUGCCAGCCGAUGGAAAUACAGUACUAACGAUGAAUUGUGAGCCGUACGGCGGCGGAACAGCGGCCCGAAGACCACAGCCCGAAAUUAUAUAAUUGAAAUUUUAUCUCGCAGCCGGAUCCGAGCGUUCGAAACACUGUGUAAACGCCGCGACGCUUCUGUCGUAUUUCUUCGUGGCGUAAUUCCUUCGAGCGCGCGAUUAAUCAUUCUGGAAAUUUUAUAGCGAGUAUUUUCGGCCCAGAGGAGACACGUCGACUGGCGCGCUCGAGAUUUAAAUUAAGACGACGGCGCGUCGCUGCGAUUCGCUCCAUUUUUAUUAUUCUCAAGCCUCGAUCGCUGGUUACAUGACGCGAUCACGACGGUUUAGUGGAGGAAACGUUGACAGGUUUCCAGCGGUUGGCUGCUUCUGACGAGUAUACUCGUCACGAAGAAAUGGCAAUAUUCCGCGUUACCAUGAAAAAGCAAAAUAGUCAUUUCGUUGUAGCUUGAUUCUGUAUUAUAACAUGUAGUCUGUGUUUGACGAGUAUACUCGUCACGAAGAAAUGGCAAUAUUCCCCGUUACCACAAGAAAGCAAAAUAGUCAUUUCGUUGUAGCUUGAUUCUGUAUUAUAACAUGUACUCUGUGUUUGACGAGUAUACUCGUCACGAAGAAAUGGCAAUAUUCCGCGUUACCAUGAGAAAGCAGAACAGUCAUUUCGUUGUAGCUUGAUUCUGUAUUAUAACAUGUACUCUGUGUUUGACGAGUAUACUCGUCACGAAGAAAUGGCAAUAUUCCCCGUUACCAUGAGAAAGCAAAACAGUCAUUUCGUUGUAGCUUGAUUCUGUAUUAUAACAUGUAGUCUGUGUUUGACGAGUAUACUCGUCACGAAGAAAUGGCAAUAUUCCCCGUUACCACGAGAAAGCAAAACAGUCAUUUCAUUGUAACUUGAUUCUGUAUUAUAACAUGUACUCUGUGUUUGACGAGUAUACUCGUCACGAAGAAAUGGCAAUAUUCCCCGUUACCAUGAGAAAGCAGAACAGUCAUUUCGUUGUAACUUGAUUCUGUAUUAUAACAUGUACUCUGUGUUUGACGAGUAUACUCGUCACGAAGAAAUGGCAAUAUUCCCCGUUACCAUGAGAAAGCAGAACAGUCAUUUCGUUGUAACUUGAUUCUGUAUUAUAACAUGUACUCUGUGUUUGACGAGUAUACUCGUCACGAAGAAAUGGCAAUAUUCCCCGUUACCACGAGAAAGCAAAACAGUCAUUUCGUUGUAGCUUGAUUCUGUAUUAUAACAUGUAGUCUGUGUUUGACGAGUAUACUCGUCACGAAGAAAUGGCAAUAUUCCCCGUUACCACGAGAAAGCAAAACAGUCAUUUCAUUGUAACUUGAUUCUGUAUUAUAACAUGUACUCUGUGUUUGACGAGUAUACUCGUCACGAAGAAAUGGCAAUAUUCCCCGUUACCAUGAGAAAGCAGAACAGUCAUUUCGUUGUAGCUUAAUUCUGUAUUAUAACAUGUACUCUGUGUUUGACGAGUAUACUCGUCGUCGCCUACUUUUUCCCACACAUUUUACGCACACACUUUUCAAAGAAGUCAUAACAGCUAACUAUUGGGUUGGCAAUUAAGUGAUUGCGGAUUUUGUCAAUACAACCUAAUGACAAAAUCUUAGUUGCCAACCCUUUUUGUAGUGUAAAUUUAAGUGCACCGAUAUGAAGAUUUCUUAUAGAAAACGUAAAGUAAGUGUGAAAAUUAGAAAAUGUUUUCUUUUUAUCGUCCUAUUGUACAUGGCAAUGGAAAUGCUGUAGUACAGAAUUUCAGAGCAAUUUUCUUUUGUAAAUAACUAUUAACUGCGUAAAUAACGUUUAUUACACACAUGCUGCAACACAUGCACACUGAACAUCAUCAAUUUUAUAACAAUUGCAAAUGUUUAUGCAAAUUAUUUAUGGACAGAAGGAGGAUUAGUGCUCACAGUGUCUGCAAAUUUAAAGGAAUAGCACAUGAUGUUUUUGAUGACACUUACAUUAAAAACCCGCUGGGGUAGCCAUCCACGUGUUAUUUAGCAAUUAAGUUAGACAAAUUGACCAAAUGUCCAGCUGGGCACAUUGUAAAGUACAAACUAAAUAAUAAAAAAAAACAGUGUUUUCUACAAGAAGUCUUCAGAUUUGUUUUAAAUAUACUGGUGUAGUUUUAUUGUUUCACUCUCUCUUGCUAGAAAUAAUCUUUCUUUGUCCAAAGAUACCAGAUAUGGCAUUUGCUAUUUAUUUAUUUAAUUCAUGAAACUUAAUCCCUGUGUUGCGGUAUGAACUGGCUUUUGGUUUACAUGUUUCUCUCAGUACUCUUACGGUAUAUCGCGUAGCAUAAUCCAACGUAACAAAGCCAACAUGGCACCUACCAUCGUCAUAUACCGGAAAUGCGAAGAAAUGAAGAAGUUUGAGUUUGCAACGACAGAAGAAACUAGUACUUCAAAUAGCAGUUCCGAAAGCAACCAAUGUUUCCCCCAAAUAUGUUAACACGCUGUUUCGCAAAGGAUUACAAAAACCCAUGGUUUAGUGUAAAAAGAAUACGUAAUUUCUGGGAAGAAAAUGAGAGACGCGCCUGGCAGCUACAAAACACCACCACUUCCACGUCAAACAUACGUAUCACGCGAAACACCACCGUAAACCAUCUAAUUUUCACUAAUAAAAUUCCCUUUUUCUCCCUGCUGUCCCUUUCAAAUCGCUAACCUGACCCAAUUUCGUGGAACGCUCUGUACAACAAGGUAAACAACAAACUCGUAAUUCUACCGCUAUUUAACCCUGCAGCGCACCUAUGCGUACGACGUUGCAAUUAUGUCGCCGCAAAUGAGCAGGUAUCUACCGUCGCUCAUACAUUUUCAGCCAACGCGUGGCGCUCACCUCGUAAAUCAAUUUCAUCGCGCGGCAAGUUAACGCGACGCGCGACAUCUGCACAUGCUUCGCUUAGAUACGAGCCUAUUAGGCAAAUUUCGUGGCGAGCACGCUCGCCGACUGCAAAUAUCGCUCGGUCAGCGCCGAGCAGGAUACCACUUCCGUCGUGGCGCGGCCGGGUGGUCGGCGCUUAACGCGGCCGACAUGUUCCGCGCCUCCUUCUUCUCGCAAAUUUUCGAAACGCGUUACAAGUCGCAGGAAACGUAGCCUGGCCGUCACCAGACCCUUGAUAACAGAGAGCGGACACGGGCCGAAUCGCCAAUGGGACAGCCCGAGCCAGUUGCGUCUACUAUCUUGUCCAACGAUACCCGACAAAUUUCGUGGCUGUCAUUCGGGAUAACAUCGAAAGGAAUCAGGGCACUGUGACUGGAUCGGUCGUCCCUGGAGUAUCGCGUCUACCGUGCUAGUGGCUCACGCACCGUAGCACAGAGAGGCAACACAGCCGUCUUGGUUGCACCCUGAAAUAAGGUAGCCCCGACGACGAACCAAGGAGCCGACGUGGGUGGCCCCAGAGAGAUUUGCCUUCCGCUAAAUAUCGCCUUUGCGCCCUCGACGUGGGUGGCCCUCUCUCUUUCUCUCGCUGCUCGCUGGCCGAGGGGAAUCCUCAUCCUCCGUGGCGUGGCUGCUUUUGCCCUCCUUCGUCCUCCGUCCAGGAGCAACCGUUGUUGUCUCCUGUCCUCCUCCUCCUCCUCCUCCUCCUCUUCCUCCUCUAUCUUCUCUUCCUUCGUCGUCAUCUUCUUCUUCCUUCUCCUCCUCUUUCUCUUCCUCUUCUCCUUCACUCUGCCUACCAUUUCUCUAUGUAUGCGUGAUAUUGGAGGAUCGCGACGAGGAUUCCUCUGGAAAGAAACGGUUCCAGGGAAAGGAGAGCGGCUCUCAAAGAUGAAUAGGUGUUAUUAUAGGUAAAGGUAAUGAAAGAUAUUGUUACGCUGUAAUAAAUAGUAUGCGGAAUCCGAAGGCGAGCCCAUGGUGAGCUGAGAUCGGUGCAAGCUGAACUGAGACGGUAAUGAUCGGUGUUCGAAGCCGUUUCCCUUCUUGCUUUAUUGAGGCUAGCCAGGCAACCCGUUUGAGGGUAGAUUUAGUGUUUCACGGGGAAAUUAAGGUCGAUUAGAACCCGGCGAAUGAGGAGUGGCGAGAGCUGCUCUUAGCGUUUGCACGGUGAUCAUACGCCAGGAGCGAGACGCACAGGCUAAUUGUCCAUUGCCAUUGUGCCCUUCUUUUUACCCAUUUAAGCGGUGAUUAACGUUAAUUGUUGCGUUCUCCGGAAUAAUUUCUUGAUGGCUCGUCGAUGGUCCUGCGUGUAAUUAUAUGGAAACAAUAAAUGAUUAAUAAUUAUGAGAUUAACGAAUUAAAUGAGAUAGUAAGAUCGUUGUUCGAACGAGUAACAACAAUCACUGUAGAGGCAACUUACUUGCCAUAUAGUAUCGUAGAAUUUACGCUCGUUUAUUAGCUUGAGGAUAAUCCAGGCUUUAGAACAUAGACUUUCCUAUUAAUUGAAUUAUCAUGGAAGUGUAAUUAAUUUCUAAUAGGAAAUAACUGGGUGCUAAUAAAGUUGUAAUCGACUCUAAUUUCUUAAUAAGUACAAUUUUUUCAUAAGUA